rnacentral:rRNA from 1 species
UACGAAGGGAGCUAGCGUUGUUCGGAAUCACUGGGCGUAAAGCGCACGUAGGCGGACGUGUCAGUCAGGGGUGAAAUCCCGGAGCUCAACUUCGGAACUGCCUUUGAUACAGCACGUCUUGAGUCCGGAAGAGGUGGGUGGAAUUCCUAGUGUAGAGGUGAAAUUCGUAGAUAUUAGGAAGAACACCCGUGGCGAAGGCGGCUCUCUGGGACGGUACUGACGCUGAGACGCGAAAGCGUGGGGAGCGAACAGG